rnacentral:rRNA from 1 species
CAGUAGGGUGCCAUCAAGAGGUGUAUUUGAUUUACUGUGAGAAAAUUAGAGUGUUCAAAGCAGGCAUUUGCUUGAAUAUAUUAGCAUGGAAUAAUAAUAAAAGGCUUUUGUGGUCGAUUUAAUUGGUUUGUUCAUGAAAGCAAGAUUAAAAGGGACAGUUGGGGGUAUUCAUAUUCAAUAGUUAGAGGUGAAAUUCUCGGAUUUAUGGAAGAUGAACAAGUGCGAAAGCA